CCCUUUGUGUACCUACCUCUGUUGCUUUGGCGGGCCGCGGUCCUCCGCGGCCGCCCCCCUCCCCGGGGGGGUGGCCAGCGCCCGCCAGAGGACCAUCAAACUCCAGUCAGUAAACGAUGCAGUCUGAAAAACAUUUAAUAAACUAAAACUUUCAACAACGGAUCUCUUGGUUCUGGCAUCGAUGAAGAACGCAGCGAAAUGCGAUAAGUAAUGUGAAUUGCAGAAUUCAGUGAAUCAUCGAAUCUUUGAACGCACAUUGCGCCCUUUGGUAUUCCGAAGGGCAUGCCUGUUCGAGCGUCAUUACAACCCUCAAGCUCUGCUUGGUAUUGGGCACCGUCCUUUGCGGGCGCGCCUCAAAGACCUCGGCGGUGGCGUCUUGCCUCAAGCGUAGUAGAACAUACAUCUCGCUUCGGAGCGCAGGGCGUCGCCCGCCGGACGAACCUUCUGAACUUUUCUCAAGGUUGACCUCGGAUCAGGUAGGGAUACCCGCUGAACUUAAGCAUAUCAAUAAGCGGAGG
rnacentral:rRNA from 1 species